UGAAUACGAGAUGCUACGGCAUCGAAGCAGUCUAUGUCAUACUUCCAAGAAAAGCUUGCACUGUCAUAAACAAAUAAUGCCUGUACCAUAACCGACACAGGUGGGUAGGUAGAGUAUACUAAGGGGCGCGAGAUAACUCUCUCUAAGGAACUCGGCAAAAUGACUCCGUAACUUCGGGAGAAGGAGUGCCUUAUUUUAUAAGGUUGCAAUAACAAGAUCCAAGCAACUGUUUACCAAAAACACAGGUCUCCGCUAAGUCGUAAGACGAUGUAUGGGGGCUGACGCCUGCCCAGUGCCAGAAGGUUAAAGAAGUUGGUUAGCAUUAGCGAAGCUGAUAACUGAAGCCCUGGUGAACGGCGGCCGUAACUAUAACGGUCCUAAGGUAGCGAAAUUCCUUGUCGGGUAAGUUCCGACCCGCACGAAAGGCGUAAUGAUUUGGAUACUGUCUCGGAGAGGGGCUCGGUGAAAUAGACUUGUCUGUGAAGGUGCGGACUGCCUGCACCAGGACAGAAAGGCCCUAUGAAGCUUUACUGUAACUUGAGAUUGAAAUUGGACUUUAUUUGCGCAGUAUAGGUGGGAGACGUUGAAAAUAUUCUUGCGGGAAUAUUGGAGUCAUCAGUGAGAUACCACUCUUAUAAUGUUAGAUUUCUAACUUUGUAUCAUUAUCUGGUCAAAGAACAGUCUCAGGCGGGCAGUUUGACUGGGGCGGUCGCCUCCCAAACGGUAACGGAGGCGCACAAAGGUUUCCUCUGAACGUGUAGAAAUCGUAUCUAGAGUGUAAAGGCAUAAGGAAGCUUGACUGUGAGACCUACAAGUCGAGCAGGGACGAAAGUCGGUCUUAGUGAUCUGACGGUGCUGAGUGGAAAGGCCGUCACUCAACGGAUAAAAGUUACUCUAGGAUAACAGGCUGAUCUCCCCCAAGAGUUCACAUCGACGGGGAGGUUUGGCACCUCGAUGUCGGCUCAUCGCAUCCUGGGGCGGUAGUACGUCCCAAGGGUUGGGCUGUUCGCCCAUGAAAGCGGUACGCGAGCUGGGUUCAGAACGUCGUGAGACAGUUCGGUCCAUAUCCGGUGUAGGCGUUAGAAUAUUGAGAGGAGCCUUCUUUAGUACGAGAGGACCGAGAAGGACAUACCUCUGGUGUACCAGUUAUCGUGCCAACGGUAAACGCUGGGUAGCUAUGUAUGGAGAGGAUAACCGCUGAAAGCAUCUAAGUGGGAAGCCCACCUCAAGAUAAG
rnacentral:rRNA from 1 species